rnacentral:rRNA from 1 species
UACGUAGGGGGCUAGCGUUGUCCGGAAUCAUUGGGCGUAAAGAGCGUGUAGGCGGCUCGGUAAGUCCGCUGUGAAAGUUCAGGGCUCAACCCUGGAAUGCCAGUGGAAACUGUCGAGCUAGAGUCCGGAAGAGGCGAGUGGAAUUCCUGGUGUAGCGGUGAAAUGCGCAGAUAUCAGGAGGAACACCAAUGGCGAAGGCAGCUCGCUGGGACGGUACUGACGCUGAGACGCGAAAGCGUGGGGAGCAAACAGG